rnacentral:rRNA from 1 species
AGCGAACGCUGGCGGCAGGCUUAACACAUGCAAGUCGAAGGGACUCUUCGGCGUUAGCGGGCUUUGGGUGGGCGACACGCGGCAACGUGGCUUGUGACUCGGAAUCACCCAGGGAAACAUGUGCUAAUACCGAUUGGGCACUACGGGGGAUAGGUUAUGCGCCAUUAGGAAGGCCCGCGACUGAUUAGCUAGAUGUUGAGGUAACGGCUGACCAAGGCGACGAUCAGUAGCUGGUCUGAGAGGCGGGCCAGCCACCCUGGGACUGCGACACGGCCCAGACUCCUACGGGGGGCAGCAGUCGGGAAUCUUGCGCAAUCAGCGAGAGCCUAACGCAGCCGUGCCGUGUGAUGUAUGAAGGUCUUAUGAGUGUAUAAUUCUUUCACCGGGGACGAUAAUGACGGUACCCUAAGAAGAAGCCCCGGCUAACUUCGUG